rnacentral:rRNA from 1 species
UACGUAAGGGGCAAGCGUUGUCCGGAAUCAUUGGGCGUAAAGCGCGUGUAGGCGGCUCGAUAAGUCUGCUGUGAAAGUCCAGGGCUCAACCCUGGGAUGCCGGUGGAUACUGUCGAGCUCGAGUCCGGAAGAGGUGUGUGGAAUUCCUGGUGUAGCGGUGAAAUGCGCAGAUAUCGAGAGGAACACCUGCGGCGAAGGCGGGUUGCUGGGCUGAUACUGACGCUGAGGCGCGAAAGCCAGGGGAGCGAACGGG